UAAACGAUGGAUACUAGACACAGGGAGAGUCGACCCUUUCCGUGUCGAAGCUAACGCGUUAAGUAUCCCGCCUGGGGAGUACGGCCGCAAGGCUAAAGCUCAAAAGAAUUGACGGGGACCCGCACAGGCGGUGGAGCAUGUGGUUUAAUUCGACAAUAAACGAAGAACCUUACCAAGGUUAGAAAUCCUACUGCAAGCCUUUAGAAAUAAAGGAAGCCUUCGAGGGUGUAGGACAGGUGCUGCAUGGCUGCCGUCAGCUCGUGCCGUGAGGUGUUCGGUUAAGUCCGGUAACGAGCGCAACCCUUGUCCUGUGUUAUAUUUCACACAGGAGACUGCCGGCGUAUAGUCGGAGGAAGGUGAGGAUGACGUCAAGUCCGCAUGGCCCUUGAUACCUUGGGCCACACACGUGCUACAAUGGGAAGAACAAAGGGAAGCUAAGCCGUAAGGUGGAGCAAAUCCCAUCAAAUCUUCUCUCAGUUCGGAUAGAGGUCUGCAAUUCGACCUCUUGAAGCUGGAAUCGCUAGUAACCCCGGGCUCAGCUAUACCACNGGUGAUACGUUCUCGGGUCUUGUACACACCGCCCGUCACGUCAAGCGAGUUGGUAAUACCU
rnacentral:rRNA from 1 species